UACACUACUUUAUUUUAAAUGUAAAUCUUGACAAAUGCAAUGCAUAACUGGGAGUUCAGUCUUUAAACUCACAAAAUCCGAAUUCUGAGAUUAAACUCUUACCAAAAGUGAGAGUUUCAACUAAACUCAGAAUUCUAAACAAAAAGGUCAGAAUUCAGUUCCAGGUGAUAGGAAAGUCUGCAUUCCCCUCUCCAGCAUCACUCCCUCUCACAGACGAUCUUUGAUGCAUGCCUCGUCAUCUUUCCACAUUGCGCGUACUGAUGAUGUCAGCAGCAGGCGACGGGACAGCCUAUGGUCGGCAGCAGGUUUACAGAGAUGGCUGCGGGCAUGGAGCGGAGCCGCGGCGGCGGAGCUGGGUGUACCCGGACAGGGAAGAGCUGGUGGCGGCUCGCGGUGCUCCUGCUCUCCGUGAGCUCCCUGCCGGCGGCCUCCGGGCUGGUGGACGGCCUGUACUGCGGCACCGAGAUCUGCUACGAUGUGCUCGGAGUCUCCCGGGAGGCCGUCAAGUUGGAUAUCGCCCGGGCUUACCGGCAGCUGGCCCGCCGGUACCAUCCGGACCGGUUCAGGCCCGGAGAGCCCGGCUAUGAGGGAGAGACCCGGGAGUCCGCCCACACGAAGUUCCUGCUCAUCGCCACCGCGUACGAGACGCUGAAGGAUGAGGACACUCGGCGGGACUACGACUACAUGCUGGACCACCCAGAGGAGUACUACCAGCACUACUACACCUACUACAGGAGGCAGCUCACCCCCAAGGUGGACGUGAGGAUCGUCAUCCUGGUCACCAUCUGCGCCAUCUCCAUCUUCCAGCUGUCUGCCUCUUUCAAAAUAGCCCGAAAAAAAGAUACCCAACUGCAUGGCAAAUACUUUGUCCAUGAGUGUAUAAGAAGUAGAUUUCCUCCUCCAGUUCUACAGCUGGCACAGCAGCUACAACGAGGCCAUCAACUACCUGGUGACGGUGCCCAAGUACCGGAUCCAGGCCACGGAGAUCGCCAAGCAGCAGGGGCUCCUCAACCGCAGCAAGGAGAAGGGCAAGAACCGGCGCUCCAAGGAGGAGAUCCGGGAGCAGGAGGAGGAGGUGAUCCGGGACAUCAUCAAGACCAAGAUCGACAUCAAGGGAGGCUACCAGAAGCCCAACCUGUCCGACAUCCUGCUCUGCCAGAUGGUGCUCUUCCCCUACUACCUGACCACCUACCUGAGCUGGUACGCCUCAUGGAUCUACCGCUUCACCCUCUGCAGGGAGGAGUACGGAGAGGAGGAGAAGGUCUACCUCAUCAGGAGGAACAUGAAGAUGUCUCAGUCUCAGUUUGACAGUCUGGAGGAAAGCUCCAAGCAGACGUUCCUGGAGAAGCGGCUGUGGAUCAAAGACAACUACGAGGUGCACCAGAAGCAGCAGGAGGAAGAGAUGAAAGUGAAGAUGGCGACCGACCCGAGGAUGAAGAGGUACCGGCGCUGGAUGAAGAACGAGGGGCCGGGCCGGCUGACGUUCAUUGACGACUGAAGCCCCCCCCCCCGCUCUGUCUGUCACAUACACACUGCCUCAGUGCCAACACACACGGAGCACACACACCGUGUGGUGUGCAGAAAGAUCACCUAUGCCUGUUUAUAGAGAGAUAUUUUCAUAGCCACUUCUGAGUGGAAUAAACUGUGUGGGGGGCUUCAGAUUUAUCAUUUUUUUCAUCCUGCAAUUUCCCCCCCCCAAAUUCAAUGUUAUUGACAUCUUUUGUUUUUGUCCUGCUGGUAAAAGCAGACGAUGGAUGCAUUUUUGUACGACGGCUUUCUGCUCACUGACAUCAAACAGCUGCGAGACGAUAAGAGCCAGAACCACGAGGAAACCCUCUGAAUGCCACCUGCUCACUCUCAAAGGGAGAGCAGUAGCAUUUAUUUCUCACAUGAUGAAUGCACCAGGGCCAGGGAGUAUUCUUGAAAACAGUGAUGUUUGGUUAAAUCCUCACUUUGUAUUCCCUGUGUACCUGGAUCUUAGCUCUGUCCAAAGUGAGAAAACACACCUUCAACAACGGCAAAGCUUUGUGUGUGUCAUGCUCUUAACCUGUACUGAACACGUGUUAAAAAAGGUAACAUGACUUGCUACAAGAUACAAGAAGGAAGUGGUGAAGAGAUGAAAUGAUAUCCAUCUUCUCACGUUGUUGACCACAGCAACAUGAGCUGCAGAUCCUCUGUUGGAACGUUGCUAUCAGAACAAAAUGUCUUACUGUGUAAUGGAAGCCAAAGUCAUAGCUGCCUGUUUGUGUAAACUGUGAAUGGCAGAUAUUUAUCACAAGCACUUUGGUAUUGUGCUUUCUGCUGUUUCUACAGAAGUCCAACAGUUGGUUUUAAAUGAUGUUAUUUAUUGCCUCACAUUUCUCUGUUCAUUUGGGGUCUUUGGUGAAUCAUUCUGUAACUACACCCUCAUACAGUCUGUGGUUUGAACAAAAUGUAGUUUUUUAAUAAAUACAUUUAAAAACAG